GCCGAAGUGGUGGAAUGGCAGACACACUGGUUUCAGGUACCAGCGACCGCAAGGUCAUGCGGGUUCAACUCCCGCCUUCGGCA
rnacentral:tRNA from 1 species